rnacentral:rRNA from 1 species
AGUGAACGCUGGCGGUAGGCCUAACACAUGCAAGUCGAACGGCAGCACAGGAGAGCUUGCUCUCUGGGUGGCGAGUGGCGGACGGGUGAGGAAUACAUCGGAAUCUACUCUGUCGUGGGGGAUAACGUAGGGAAACUUACGCUAAUACCGCAUACGACCUACGGGUGAAAGCAGGGGAUCUUCGGACCUUGCGCGAUUGAAUGAGCCGAUGUCGGAUUAGCUAGUUGGCGGGGUAAAGGCACACCAAGGCGACGAUCCGUAGCUGGUCUGAGAGGAUGAUCAGCCACACUGGAACUGAGACACGGUCCAGCCUCCUACGGGAGGCAGCAGUGGGGAAUAUUGGACAAUGUGCGCAAGCCUGAUCCAGCCAUACCGCGUGGGUGAAGAAGGCCUUCGGGUUGUAAAGCCCUUUUGUUGGGAAAGAAAUCCAGCUGGCUAAUACCCGGUUGGGAUGACGGUACCCAAAGAAUAAGCACCGGCUAACUUCGUGCCAGCCGCCGCAGUAA